UACGGGGGGGGUAAGCGUUGUUCGGAAUUACUGGGCGUAAAGGGCUCGUAGGCGGCCAACUAAGUCAGACGUGAAAUCCCUCAGCUUAACUGGGGAACUGCGUCUGAUACUGGAUGGCUUGGAUUCGGGAGAGGAAUGCGGAAUUCCAGGUGUAGCGGUGAAAUGCGUAGAUAUCUGGAGGAACACCGGUGGCGAAGGCGGCAUCCUGGACCGACAUUGACGCUGAGGCGCGAAAGCCAGGGGAGCAAACGGG
rnacentral:rRNA from 1 species